rnacentral:rRNA from 1 species
GACGAACGCUGGCGGCGUGCCUAAUACAUGCAAGUCGAGCGGACGUUGUUGGAGCUUGCUCCAACAAUGUUAGCGGCGGACGGGUGAGUAACACGUGGGCAACCUGCCUUAACGACUGGGAUAACUCCGGGAAACCGGGGCUAAUACCGGAUAACAUCUAGCACCUCCUGGUGCAAGAUUAAAAGAGGGCCUCUGGCUCUCACGUUAAGAUGGGCCCGCGGCGCAUUAGCUAGUUGGAGCGGUAAUGGCUCCCCAAGGCGACGAUGCGUAGCCGACCUGAGAGGGUGAUCGGCCACACUGGGACUGAGACACGGCCCAGACUCCUACGGGAGGCAGCAGUAGGGAAUCUUCCGCAAUGGACGAAAGUCUGACGGAGCAACGCCGCGUGAGUGAAGAAGGGUUUCGGCUCGUAAAGCUCUGUUAUGAGGGAAGAACACGUACCGUUCGAAUAGGGCGGUACCUUGACGGUACCUCAUCAGAAAGCCACGGCUAACUACGUGCCAGCAGCCGCGGUAAAAC